UCCACGAUGACGCCAAGAUCUUUUUCCUGAUUAGUUGUAGCUAAAUUAGCCCCCAUCACUAGACUACUUCUGCCACUAGCCUUAACACUAACGCUUUAGUGUUCUCAGAGGAAUGAGCAUCGGCAGUUUCAGUGAGGUUAGACACUGACAGGAUUUCACAAUGUAAACAUCUAUUAAAACUUCUCCCCUGCUUUGUUAGUAAGCUCAUGAGAGACCAAGGACUGAAGGGGUUUCAAGAACAAACUUCCUUCCCCCAACCCCAUCUUAUUCUCCCCAGGUUAUGCUCUCAAAGGAAUGAGGAAUGCUGUUUGGAGCUUGCUCUGCUACUGUCCCGGUUAUAUCUGAUACGUGGAACUGCAAGGACUCUGUGCUCCACAAGUGUCAGUCUUUUCACAGGCAGUAACACUUCUAAAUAAAGAGAGAGAGAGGAGUUGAAUAACCUCUUUUGAAUCUGAUGUCCUGGAGGUUGUUUUUCUUGUGGAGUGCAAGAGGUUUGUUUGGUCAGUGUGUGGCACGAAAGGAAGUGAUGACCUUGUGUUUCAAACUCUGCCUUGAUAAUGUCUUGAACUCUUCGAGCUUGUCAGCUGUGCAUUCCAGGACCCCAGUGACCGUUCGAAUGUGUCUAGCAUGGAAGGGCAAGGGGGAGAGAAAAAUAGCCUGUCCUGAGACAAGGACUUGAUCUAUAUCUUAAAAUAGAGCCAAAGAACAAAAAGUCCUAUUUACAUCAAAGCUGGCCUGACCAGGAGGUAGCAGCAGCACACUGCUUUGCUCACUGGGGUUUAGAAACUUGGAAUGCUCCCAGCUGAGAAGAGCUUAACAGUUGGCACAAGUGAGAUACUUAUGUUGGCAGCUGAUUCAAGAACUUUAUGCUGCCUGUAUCAACCCAAGGCCCUCUUCCCAUUUUGGCUUGAGGUACAGUACAUUGCCGUGCUGCCUGUGACAAUGCCAUCUUUUCAUUUCAACUAUUUAAUUUAAAUUAUGUUUUUUCCCCUCAUGUUCCGCAUAUAAUAUAGGUAGUUUCCCUUGAGACACUCGAUUGGCUGAGGUGGUGAAGCUGGUAACUCAGAACCAAGAUGGAGCCCAGCAAUGUUCCUGUAAACUUCAGCACUGUGCUAUCAGAGCAAGGAAAAGCACUGUAAACAUAAAUCGUCCUUGUGCUCUUGCAUGUAAGCUGCAGUCAGUGUAGUUCCAGCUGGAGAUUUGAUGGGCUUUGCAAACUUUUAUCAGAAAACUGGUGCUAACUGGCCUGGAACAGCUGGAUCUGAAUUCCAGCCCUGCUGCUGACUGAAUGCCCAGAACUAUUACCAAGUGCAGAACAGAAUGUGGAGAUGGAACUCUGAUCCUUUCUGCAGCAGGGUUUUAAUAGGUGCGUGGGAAGCUAGCUCCAAUUAAUCUUGCAAUGGUGGUUCUGUGGAGGAGAAUGUCACACUACUAAGACCCAGGGAAUGCUGGGAGAGUGUGUAUGAGAGAGACAGACAGGCUUAACCCUUCCCCUGCUGCAUCCUGAUUGCUGCCAGACUGUUUCUGGCAGCAUCAUCACUUGGAAAGCACUGCAGGAAGCAGGGUAAAAUGGAGCAGCCAUUUAAAUAGGGCUCCGGAAUAGCUCUUUGGAUAGCCAAUAUUCUUGAGAGGAAAUAGCGACAAGAGUCCACACUAUCAAGACAUCCGAGUAGCUCUAGACUAGAUGCAUCUGAACAGCAUCUUCCCUCCAGCUAGAAGCAGCAUUAG